CCGAGAACAAAAGCAAAGAGCCACAGAAAUUUGUAUAUUUACAGCUCCAGCAAGACAGAACGGGCGAUGGAGGCGGUCGUGUUGCUGCAUUGGUUCCUGGCCGAGGCCCGAGUGGUCCUGCCCAUUUCAUACCUCUUACAGCCAAGCUAAACUCCAUUUCAGUUUUGGGGUCUGGCUCCAGGCCAUCACGCACUACUGUGCCACCUCCUCGUAAUCCUACUGGUGCUGUCGUAA